CAGGUGGCGAAUUUCGCCGUAACCAAGAGGGAAUCCGGUGCGAGUCCGGAGCGGUCCCGCCGCUGUAAUCCCCGCACCAGUCCUGCACGUGGAACCACUGCCGCGAGGUGGGAAGGAGGGCAGGAUGGGGAGAGCCAGAAGACCUGCCUGAAGCA
rnacentral:ncRNA from 1 species